rnacentral:rRNA from 1 species
CGAAAGCCUGACGGAGCAAGACCGCGUGAGGGAGGAAGGCUCUUGGGUUGUAAACCUCUUUUCUCAGGGAAGAAGAUCUGACGGUACCUGAGGAAUCAGCCUCGGCUAACUCCGUGCCAGCAGCCGCGGUAAUACGGAGGAGGCAAGCGUUAUCCGGAAUUAUUGGGCGUAAAGAGUCCGUAGGUGGUGGGGCAAGUCGGCGGUUAAAGACUGGGGCUUAACUCCGUAAAGGCAGUGGAAACUGAAUAGCUAGAGUGCCGUAGGGGUAGAGGGAAUUCCCGGUGUAGCGGUGAAAUGCGUAGAUAUCGGGAAGAACACCAGUGGCGAAAGCGCUCUACUGGACCGCAACUGACACUGAGGGACGAAAGCUAGGGGAGCG